GACGAACGCUGGCGGCGUGCUUAACACAUGCAAGUCGAACGGAAAGGCCCUGCUUUUGUGGGGUUCUCGAGUGGCGAACGGGUGAGUAACACGUGAGUAACCUGCCCUUGACUUUGGGAUAACUUCAGGAAACUGGGGCUAAUACCGGAUAGGAGCUCCUGCUGCAUGGUGGGGGUUGGAAAGUUUCGGCGGUUGGGGAUGGACUCGCGGCUUAUCAGCUUGUUGGUGGGGUAGUGGCUUACCAAGGCUUUGACGGGUAGCCGGCCUGAGAGGGUGACCGGCAACAUUGGGACUGAGAUACGGCCCAGACUCCUACGGGAGGCAGCAGGGGGGAAUAUUGCACAAUGGGCGGAAGCCUGAUGCAGCAACGCCGCGUGCGGGAUGACGGCCUUCGGGUUGUAAACCGCUUUCGCCUGUGACGAAGCGUGAGUGACGGUAAUGGGUAAAGAAGCACCGGCUAACUACGUG
rnacentral:rRNA from 1 species